ensembl:lncRNA
GCGUGAAUGUGUUGGAAUACGGAAAUUAUAUCAAGUAGGAUUUUGGUAUAAAAACACAUUCUAUCCUAUGUAGACUAACCAUAUGUUGUGUUUAUAGCAGCAGGACCACACACACACACACACGAAAAAUUUGGUUAUCUUUGAUUUCUCUUAGGAGGGUUCCCCGACUUCAAAGUGCGACGCUCGGCCCCUAACACCUCACCCUGUUACGGCCCACCCUGUGGCCUCUGCAGCCAAACAAUCAGCCAGACAGCCGGACCCCUGAUGUGUGCCCACACAUCCUGCCGACAGGACCAUCUGACGACAGGCGGGCUGCUGGCCCCCACUCCGAGGAGGGCUACGACAGGUGCAGCAGGUGCCAGCGACCGUUAAGAUCGGAUUGGACACACUGCUACUACGGUUCUGCAACAACUAGGCUGGGUUAACGCUGGCUGGGAGACGCAAGAGGGGGGAAAAGAACUGCAGUCAUUUAGGACAUUUUUAUUAGCGCUUCAGGCGAGUAGCAGUGAGGUAGAGCUAACCUUGAGCUCUCAAUGCAUUACAGCUUGGGUUGGUUGAGGUGGACAUGGGCUAGGCAGGGAAUUAGCUCAUCAGAGUUUGAGUGUAGCAUUGCGUUUCUGAUUUCAACACCAGUAUAAACGACGCUGACUGGUGCAUUCAGGGAAGCUGCUCUUUAGAGAGAACACUUUUAUGAAAGAUACGUUUAAGGUUUAUCCUCUUUAUUGUAGAGUAGACUUGAAAAUAGUGCCCUGACCGGCUGGGGUACUAGAGGCUGGGGUACUAGAGGGUACUAGAGGGCACUAGAGGCUGGGGUACUAGAGGCACUAGAGGGCACUAGAGGCUGGGGUACUAGAGGUACUAGAAGCUGGGGCACUAGUGGUACUAGAGGCUGGGGUACUAGAGGUACUAGAGGGUACUAGAGGCUGGGGCACUAGAGGCUCGGGCACUAGAGGCUGGGGCACUAGAGGCUGGGGCACUAGAGGCACUAGAGGAUGGGGUACUAGAGGGCACUAGAGGCUGGGGCACUAUAGGUACUAGAGGCUGGGGCACUAGAGGCUUGGGCACUAGAGGCUGGGGGACUAGAGGCACUAGAGGCUGGGGCACUAGAGGCUGGGGUACUAGAGGGUACUAGAGGCUGGGGUACUAGAGGCUGGGGCACUAGAGGCUGGGGUACUAGAGGCUGGGGCACUAGAGGCUGGGGCACUAGAGGCUGGGGUACUAGGGGCUGGGGCACUAGAGGCUGGGGUACUAGAGGCUGGGGUACUAGAGGCUGGGGCACUAGAGGCUGGGGCACUAGAGGCAAGGGUACUAGAGGCUGGGGUACUAGAGGCCUGCGUGAGGAGCAUCCGAUCGGACAGCGAGAGGUAUUCCGCAUAUCGGAGAGGCUUGGAUAAAUGUUUUGGUGGAGAACAGCCGUGGGCUCAUGGAGGACUGUCAGUCAUGCGGGGGGAGAGGGGGGGGGUAAGCAGCCUCCUCAAGCCAACCAAGACCGUCAAUCAUAACGAAAAUUAAGAAGGAAAAGGGAGACAAAUACUAGAGUCAAUGGGCUGGGGGUGGAUCCACCAGUCUGCAAACACGGAACAUAACCUUCCGUCUUUAGACCAAUUACACAGCACGACGAGGUCCUUAGGAGAAUAAAGAAUAGGUCAAGACGAUUAUGGAACACAAAAGACAUUUGGCUGGUGUUUUUCUGCCUUCGCUCAGCCACUCCAAAAGACAAAUUCACCAGAAGAAGAGCGCCAAAAAAAAGGACAUAAUCCAAACCAUAAUAAUCCAGAAGUAAGUGUAGCGCGUGGAAACGGUGAUGGGGUGAGGUAGAGGUGGGUGGGUGGGGGGGGGGUGAAAUAGGGGAUGGGGGGGUGGAGUAGGGGGUUUGGGCGUGUCCGGAGAAACAGGAGAAACUCAACUCAACCCAGCGGAGCCCAGUUGGUGCGCAGCCUCAGAACGGGCUGUGAUGUGUUGAGGGUCUGACCCCGUUGCAUCACCGCAGCACCGCAUGAUGACUGGCCCCACGCCGCCUCCAACCCACACCCCCUCAGCGCCGCCCCGGCCGCCUCACACCCCCCUCUAAACCACAGGCUAUUCAGACGCUGCCCCCACAACAGUCAUUUGCAUUCAGUGCACUUAAGUCUCUCAUUGUGCUCCGACACAAAGACGCUUCCCAGAGCUCAG